GAUUGAAUUAAAAGAAAUGGGAAGAAUUCUUUGAAAAUACCCCAAGAAGAAAAGUUCUAUUCUUUUAGUGAUCAUUCUGGGAAAAAAAAAAGAAGAAAAAAAACAACCCAAUUAAAACAAAAUGGAACAAAAAUGCCACCACCACCCCACCAUUACCACCAUUGUUGGACAUACAUUGUCACAAUGGCGACUUAAAAUGGUUAAGAAUCCAAUUUGCAUAAAAGAUUCCAUUGUUACAUGGCAUUGUUGUUUUUUUUCUGGUUUUGUUUUUUUUCUGCAUUGUGUAUCAAGAGUUUCAAAGCAAUCUCUACCAGAUGAGAAGUCUCGUGUGAGGGACGUUGCUGGUAAAUGCAAAGCAAAUGUCUCAUUGCAAUGAAAAUCAUUUCUUUCUGUUUAAUAACUUUGAGGGAACAUCUAUGGUACGUUUGAAUGCAUUUCGGUAUACAAUGUUAUUUUGUUCAUAUUUAAUUCCUAUCAACCUUUAUUAAAUGACCAUUCCUGUGUCCACUUCUUUCUGUUUAAAAGUUUAAAAGUCCAUUUUUCAGAGAAAUAUAGCAAUAAAUCUGCUGUAAUGUGGACACGUGUUACGACUUAAAAAACAGCUGCGAAAAGCGUAGUUCCUUUGGCUUUUAUGGUGUUUGUUCUGUCCUAAUUUCACUUGCAGUUAACAUGAGCAGUGUCAGUCAAUCCGGCAGACAUGAAAGUGGCUCCGCUUCGGCGUACGGCAGCUUCUCCGGAGAAGCAUCUCUCUGAACUCCGCCUAUGGGGAUGUUUGUCCUGUAAACUAAAUAACCCAUUUAAUGGCAGUCAGAGGCUCCUAAUACCGGAAGUCACAAAAAAGGUUUUAUCAACGUCUGCCGGAUUCGUGAGCUGCGGAGAUAUUUAUCGCGUAAAGAUGUUUUCGCCCUACUGGAUAAUGAACACAAGAGGGCGCCCUACCUCCUCCUUUUCCCGGGAUAUUCUGAGCUGUAACUGGAAAAGGACAUUAACAAAGUGAAGUACAGUACUUUUUUUUGUCAUAACAUUUGGUUUCUGUUGCCUGGGAGUAGUAUUUGUAAAUGUAAUCAUGUUGUUAAAAUGUAUGUACAUAUGCUUGUAUUUUAUAAAAACCUAUUUCUGUUGUUAAUUCUUUACUUCUUUUUUAAAAAAAUAUAUAUAUGUGACAUUUGAGUGUGAAUUACAUAUAUAAAGACAGUUAAUAAACAUCCAAAUAAAAAAAGCGAAAUAUAUAAGUUUAUUGUAUGGAAAUAGAAUCUGUGUGCAUAUAAAGUAUGAACCAUCAAUAUUCAUAUGUAAAAAGAUAAUACAA